AUGUGGUUGCAAGCCGAGCCUCCUAGGUCUGGAGCAGAGAUAUUUUUGGCCUGCAUUCCUGGCUCCCGGAGACAGGGAGGGGCUCGGAAGCUCGAGGAGUACCGAGGCGGGGGGCGAGGGGGGAUACUGCUGGGGGCGUCCGAGUCCCGAUUCCUGCCAGAAGGGAGGGGUCCAAGGAGCUGGUGCGCCCGCGGCCCGGAGCAAGGAGGGGCCUGCUCACUCACCGCGCUCUGCAGCCGUCCCUGGCGCGGCCUUGCUCGCGGUGCCUCGGGGCGGGGCCUGGGUAGAGGCUGCGGAUGGUCCUCGACUCUGAGCUAACGGGGCGCUGCUGCCGCUGGGUCCCUUCCAGGCAGACAACCAAGGAGGCUUUGAGCCCCAGCCCGCGCCAGUCGCGACGGGGUGGGGUGGUCGGGAGGGGUCCGGGAGCCCUGUCUGGCAGGCUGCGUGCCCUACGGAGGUGGGAGGGGCUGGGGGGGGGCUGGACGCCGUGAGCUCUGCAGAAGUAGGGGGGGGCGUGAGAUGGGGUGGGAGGGAUGUGGAGCCUGUAUGCCCGCUUUUGUGCCCCUGCAGCGGGCAUAGGCACAGACUCUCUCUGUCCUGUGCUCUGCGUAGGGGGAGGGGUCUCCAUGAGCCUGGCAUCAGGUCCUGCCUAGGGAGUCAGGACAUGGUGCAUGUUGGAGGUUCUCCAGGGUGGUCCCCAGGCUCCACUCACACACCUCCUUGGCCCCUGGUGAAGGGGCAUCCGUUUCCUGCCCCCUGCCACAGUCAGUGACUGUCUUUGACCCCACAGUGGCCAAAUAGCUCAGGAGUGGCCUCCACUCACACAAUUUACUGUUGUGUGCUCUAGUGGAAGUGUUUUCCUUGAGGCACUAAAACCCCCAAACAGCAGAGUUCAGCCAACAGGAAGAGGAAGCAAACGUUUAAAGAAUGAGUCAUUGGGUGUGAUCCUGAGAAGUGAUACCUUAGGGCUCUUGGGUGCGCGGUCAGGUGGCAUCGUGGAUGCACCCCUGGUUCAGAGUGUUUGCCCACCUUGUAGGGCAGCACCCCCCACGCGGAGGAUGUUGACUCCAACCUGGCGCUGGAUUCCAGCCUCCAACAGGCUGCACCUCUGUUCUGUGAAGCUGGCUGCUUUGGGGUACAGGGACCCGCCUCCCGACUUCCUAAUAAACAGAGUUCCUUGAUCAGAAGCAAUAUUGUGUGACAGUGAACAUGAUGGUGAAUAGGGCCAUUCAGCGGGUACAUAGAUACGGCUCUUGGCAGGCAUGGGUAAGGCAAGGAGAGCAAAUAACAACCCUGACUUAAUAUUCCAGGGAGGAAGCAGUCACUCCAUUCACGAUGGAAGGAGCCCAAUGUAAUUAUCAGGCGACCAGGUAUUUGGCUGGUCUUCCUAGGAAACCCGCAGUGGAGGGGCCCGGAGGCUUUGCAGUGCUGCAGCGGGCUGGGCUUUGCUGGGGCAAAUCCGUGCCCAGCCCUCCACGGCCACUUUGUUCUUGACUCCACUGAGCCAGCACUGGGGACGCUGAGCCACGUGAGGUCAUCCAAUCUGCCAGGUGGCUUAAUAACAUUCUCUGCAAUAGAGGCUUUUUGGGAAGAGUUCAC
ensembl:lncRNA